rnacentral:rRNA from 1 species
ACGUAGGAGCCAAGCGUUAUCCGAAUUUACUGGGCGUAAAGCGCGUGUAGGCGGUUUGGAAAGUUGGAUGUGAAAGCUCCUGGCUCAACUGGGAGAGGACGUUCAAAACUAGCAGACUAGAGGACGGUAGAGGGAGGUGGAAUUCCCGGUGUAGUGGUGAAAUGCGUAGAUAUCGGGAGGAACACCAGUGGCGAAGGCGGCCUCCUGGGCCGUUCCUGACGCUCAGACGCGAAAGCUAGGGUAGCAAACGGG